rnacentral:rRNA from 1 species
AGUGAACGCUGGCGGCAUGCCUAACACAUGCAAGUCGAACGGCAGCGCAGUCGUAGCAAUACGAUGGGCGGCGAGUGGGGGACGGGUGAGGAACACAUCGGAAUCUGCCCGGUUGUGGGGGAUAACGUAGGGAAACUUACGCUAAUACCGCAUACGAUCGAGAGAUGAAAGCGGGGGACCGUAAGGCCUCGCGCAGUCGGAUGAGCCGAUGUCGGAUUAGCUAGUUGGUGGGGUAAAGGCCUACCAAGGCGACGAUCCGUAGCUGGUCUGAGAGGAUGAUCAGCCACACUGGGACUGAGACACGGCCCAGACUCCUACGGGAGGCAGCAGUGGGGAAUAUUGGACAAUGGGGGCAACCCUGAUCCAGCAAUGCCGCGUGUGUGAAGAAGGCCUUCGGGUUGUAAAGCGAC